UACAAAGCACAGGACUUUUUCGAUGGCUCGCUGGGUGAUCAAUCAAGAGAGAGAGGGGGGAGAGUGGAUUGAAGAAGCUCUUUUUGGGUCCUCGUCCCCGCGCAUGCCGUCGCGGCGGCGGCGGCGGUAUAGGAAGAGCAGGAGUAGGCCGGAGGUCUCUGGGCCUCGGGCGUCUAGGCCGUUGGAGCGCGGACCUAGAACGUCGAGCCCGGCACGAGGAGGGAGAGGAGGGGCCGUAUCCCGCGGACCACGAGCAGUAGGUGCUGCGUGGCCAGUGAGCAGAAGGUGCGGCGUGCCGCAAUUGGGGCCCAGUUUCUCUGCGAAGCGCCGACGGGGGUUUAGGGGGUGGUACGGGGCACGAGCGUUCGGAGCGGCACUCACCAGCCUGCCGCAGGGCGGGCUCGAAGAACCGCAGUAGAAGGAGCUGGACCGGACGGAGCGGCUGGCACAGACGAAGCGACGGCAGACGGCGAGCACCGCGAGACACCGCGCCCGACAACCGUGGGGCGGCCGCGGCGCGGUCGAGGGCACCGAGGAAGAGGGCAGGGGGCUGUUCGGGAGGAAGAAGUCGGAGGUGAGCCCCCGGUUUGCGGCGGAUGCGGAGGGCCUCUCGUAGGCGCCGCGCGCGAAUACACCGAGGGUACUACCGCCAACCCAGCGAGAUCGUAAGCUCGUCACCGCUCCCAUACGCCGGCAGUUGGAGGAGAGACCGCGCUGCCAAGGAGAGGGGCUGUCCGAGUCCUGACGCGUGGGCGAGCGAGGGGUCCGCUUGUGGCGGACGCUCGUGGUGUACCAGUAGGCGUGGUAGUGGAAGAGCCCCAGUGGGAGUCGUCUCUUGACGGAACGGCGGCGCGUACAGAGGUCGCGGAGGUUGUAGCGCAAGACCGCCGGCCCUUACUUGCCGGUGACCUAGUGAACGCCACAGCGCCAGCGAGACCUGCACUAGGUCCUGUAGUAGAUAAUGCUCUUACCCGACUUCGUUCCAAAGGUACAGGACAGUUUAUGUCUCCUGUAGCACCACAUGUGCGGGUUGUCGCAGCUCCCGCGGAGAGACCAAUACAGGGCAAGGUGGAUGGUCUAGGUCUUCGCGCGACUAAUGUCCGGACUAUUAGAGUCCGCGUUCAGCGAGUGUCACAGGGCGAUAGACCACCUUAGGGCGCCCUUUAACGAUUACCAGGACGCCGAACGGUCCGCACCGUUCGUACCCAAGUCUUAGAAACUCUACUUGGAACACCAACGAGGACGACCCCCGAGACUUCGAAGAACCCACCUCGAGGUGAGCGAAGGACCAGCCCACGAGAACGAACCAGCUCCGACGAGAUCCCGACAACUCCACAGAGUCAAGUUAUCCGAGGUUGACCCAUCGUAGAUAAUAAACCUGCUAUGAUCGAAGCUGUAUAGGAACCGCAAUUCGUCACCCUCGUUCAUAAGGUCAUGACUGUACCCACAAAUACCAGCGUUUUGUGAUUUAUCCCGCGCAUCACACGCCGCGAAAGGCGCUUUUAAAUGAAGUCUCCCGAGAGGUGGUUAGACCAAAUACGGGACUGAGUCAUACGUCAAACCACCUUAAAUCGUUCGGACAGAUCAUAGGAACGUUAAAAACGUCAUACGGUUUUCUACGAUCCGUGACAUAUAAGUCUUUAUUCUUUCAUCUAAGUACACUUGUUUACAUACCGUACAACCUUCGUAGUUAGUUAGUAUAAAACACAGGGAACUUGUAACAAUCUCAAACAAAUGAGGGAAAAACACCUUGGGAUUAGAUCGCAGCUUAAAACACUAUUAACACGAACCAACACAGUAGAUCGUUUGCUUUGAAGAGGCGCUCACCGGGCAUCGGAUACUCCGCAGAGUCCCGUGGCACUAGGUUUGUCUCGUACGUCAAGGGUCUACUUUGAUAACCACCUAUUGUCCUCGUUAACGGGUACGGAACUAUAAUCGAGCAUGAACCCCACGUUCCAGGGAGUACUACACAUCAUCCCGAACGGUACCCUCCAAAUCAGUUGAACAUCAGUCCAAAGUAGGAACUCGGUCCAUCUCUACAAGACUAUAGGAGACG
rnacentral:rRNA from 1 species